GUCAGCUUCUGGAGCUGCUUUCGCAUCUUGAGAGGGUUGAACAAUAUCUACCCAGAAGACUGGAAAAUAUAUAUGAAUAACAGUGUUUCCUUCAAGACGCUUAACAAUACAUAUCGGUCAAAAGCAUCUAUUUGAUGAUCAUGUUUGUUCCUUCGUUGACUGAGCCAAAUGAAGGGCCUCGAGCAGAAAACCAGACCCAGCAUCUCUAAGGACGGUAUGGUGGUUCCAAAGAGCGCAGCCCCGGAGCUCUCAGCUGAAGCUCAGCGUUGGCAAUGCAGACAGAGCUGGGAGAAACCCAGCCACCAUCACCACCACCGCCGCAGCAGGCAGGCCAUUGCCUCAGGCAGCAAUAAAGGCUCCCCGAGGCCUUUUGUCAAUUGCCCCAUGAACAGAAAAUAAACAUCUCCACGGCUGCCAUUCAGUGGACAUCCUGUUUACAUGCAGCCACAGGAAACCAGUGCAGAGACCAUCAGGAAAUUGUCAAAGAACAGCAAGAAGUAAAGAGGAUCGAUUCCUGGAGCCAAACAGGAUUGCAGGAAAUAACAAUAGCAAACCAGCAAAAAUUCAUGUUCCAGGGAACCCAUAUUUGAAUUCUCGCCAUUGUUCAAGCUGAAGAUGAUGAACCAUCAUUGCCUGUUUCCCUAUUCAUUAUCCCGUCAACAUCAAGAGCUGUUCCCAGAAAAGCUCUCAAAUUCACCUUUUAUUAAAGGCUACGAAUGAAUGAAAAAAAAA